rnacentral:rRNA from 1 species
UAACACAUGCAAGUCGCACGGGAUUGGGGGCAACUCCAGUUCAGUGGCAGAUGGGUGCGUAACACGUGAGGAACUUGUCCGACGGCGGGGGAUAGCCGGCCCAACGGCCGGGUAAUACCGCGUACGCUCAUUUGGGGACAUCCCUGGGUGAGGAAAGCAGCCGCAAGGUUGCGCCGAUGGAGAGCCUCGCGGCGUAUCAGCUAGUUGGCGGGGUAACGGCCCACCAAGGCUACGACGCGUAGCUGGUCUGAGAGGAUGGCCAGCCACAUUGGGACUGAGACACGGCCCAGACUCCUACGGGAGGCAGCAGUGGGGAAUAUUGCGCAAUGGCCGAAAGGCUGACGCAGCGACGCCGCGUGUGGGAUGACGGCCCUCGGGUUGUAAACCACUGUCGGGAGGGACGAAUACGGGGCCUCGAAUAGGGGACCCUGGGUGACGGUACCUCCAAAGGAAGCACCGGCUAACUCCGUGCCAGCAGCCGCGGUAAUACGGAGGGUGCGAGCGUUGUCCGGAAUCACUGGGCGUAAAGGGCGCGUAGGCGGUUCGUUAAGUUGCUGGUGAAAUCCCGGGGCUCAACUCCGGGGCUGCCAGUAAGACUGGCGAGCUAGAGCACGGUAGAGGCGGAUGGAAUUCCCGGUGUAGCGGUGGAAUGCGUAGAUAUCGGGAAGAAUACCGGUGGCGAAGGCGUUCCGCUGGGCCG